rnacentral:rRNA from 1 species
AUUGAACGCUGGCGGAAUGCUUUACACAUGCAAGUCGAACGGCAGCACGGACUUCGGUCUGGUGGCGAGUGGCGAACGGGUGAGUAAUGUAUCGGAACGUGCCCAGUCGUGGGGGAUAACGUAGUGAAAAUUACGCUAAUACCGCAUACGAUCUAUGGAUGAAAGCGGGGGAUCGCAAGACCUCGCGCGAUUGGAGCGGCCGAUAUCAGAUCAGGUAGUUGGUGGGGUAAAGGCCCACCAAGCCAACGAUCUGUAGCUGGUCUGAGAGGACGACCAGCCACACUGGAACUGAGACACGGUCCAGACUCCUACGGGAGGCAGCAGUGGGGAAUUUUGGACAAUGGGCGAAAGCCUGAACCAGCCAUUCCGCGUGCAGGAUGAAGGCCCUCGGGUUGUAAACUGCUUUUGUACAGAACGAAAAGGUUUCUACUAAUACUAGGAGCUCAUGACGGUACUGUAAGAAUAAGCACCGGCUAACUACGUGCCAGCCGCCGCAGUAA